UACGUAGGGGCCGAGCGUUGUCCGGAGUUAUUGGGCGUAAAGCGCGCGCAGGCGGCCUCGCGCGCCCGACGUGAAAGCCCCCGGCUUAACCGGGGAGGGUCGUUGGGGACGGCGGGGCUUGAGGGCGGGAGAGGGUGGUGGAAUUCCCGGUGUAGUGGUGAAAUGCGUAGAUAUCGGGAGGAACACCUAUGGCGAAGGCAGCUCGCUGGGACGUUACUGACGCUGAGACGCGAAAGCGUGGGGAGCAAACAGG
rnacentral:rRNA from 1 species